rnacentral:rRNA from 1 species
GGAGAAGCAGGGGAUCGCAAGACCUUGCGCUUUUGGAGCGGCCGAUGCCUGAUUAGCUUGUUGGUGAGGUAAAAGCUCACCAAGGCUCCGAUCAGUAGCUGGUCUGAGAGGACGACCAGCCACACUGGGACUGAGACACGGCCCAGACUCCUACGGGAGGCAGCAGUGGGGAAUUUUGGACAAUGGGGGCAACCCUGAUCCAGCCAUGCCGCGUGAGUGAAGAAGGCCUUCGGGUUGUAAAGCUCUUUCAGCCGGAACGAAACGGUCACGGUUAACACCCGUGACUACUGACGGUACCGGAAGAAGAAGCACCGGCUAACUACGUGCCAGCAGCCGCGGUAAUACGUAGGGUGCGAGCGUUAAUCGGAAUUACUGGGCGUAAAGCGUGCGCAGGCGGUUUUGUAAGUCAGAUGUGAAAUCCCCGGGCUUAACCUGGGAACUGCGUUUGAAACUACAAGGCUAG